rnacentral:tRNA from 1 species
GCCUUCGUGGUGUAACGGUUAGCACACUCGGCGCGUAUUCGAGAGGUCCAGGUUCGUGUCCCAGCGAGGGUG